CCUACGGGAGGCAGCAGUGAGGAAAAUUGGUCAAUGGACGAGAGUCUGAACCAGCCAAGUAGCGUGAAGGAUGACUGCCCUAUGGGUUGUAAACUUCUUUUAUAAAGGAAUAAAACGAGGCACGUGUGCCUUUUUGACUGGCCUUUAUGAAUAAGGAUCGGCUAACUCCGUGCCAGCAGCAGCGGUAAUACGGAGGAUCCGAGCGUUAUGCGGAUUUAUGGGGUUUAAAGGGAGCGUAGAUGGGUUGUUAAGUCAGUUGUGAAAGUUUGCGGCUCAACCGUAAAAUUGCAAUUGAUACUGGCAGUCUUGAGUACAGUUGAGGUAGGCGGAAUUCGUGGUGUAGCGGUGAAAUGCUUAGAUAUCACGAAGAACCCCGAUUGCGAAGGCAGCUUACUAAACUGUGACUGACAUUGAUGCUCGAAAGUGUGGGUAUCAAACAGGAUUAGAUACCCCUGUAGUC
rnacentral:rRNA from 1 species